CAGGUAGAUUCGCUUUUGAGGCGGCCUUGCGAUGUAGUGGACGCGGCUUACCUACGAAUCACUAUCUUGCGUGGCGUCUCCUCCUUAUAUACGCGGGCCGCUCUCGUCCUUUGUUCCUCCUUCCGCCUCGCUCCGCCUGCCGCUGUACUACGCCUCCACAUCGCUUCCGCCCGUCGCUGUACUUCGCCUCCACAUCGCCAUGAAGGUGGUCCUUCGCUGACCUGUUCAUCCAUCGCUCGUCUUGUUCGUCUCUCUGUUCUCCGGUCCUCGUCGUCGUCAAGCUGGAUCGAGAGUUCGUGGGACGUCACCGAGCCGAACGUGUGCAGAUCGCGGAGGUGCCGUACUUUCGGUACUAGGAUCGGUCGGAUCGUGAAGACGUACGACUACAUAAACCACGUUGUCAUAACGCUUCCGCUUACGGUCUACGAGGGGAUUGGCAUCAUCGGUUCAUAAUCAAGUUUGACUCGUUAUCUAAUCUGCUGGGCAUAUCGACUCUGCGGCUAAGAUGCUUUUUGACUCGCUGUCUGAUGUGUCGCCGACAAGCCGACACUGGUCUAUUCGCGUCCGUGUUGCAUGUAUGUGUUACUACUGUGGAACAUGUGAUGGACAACCUCCAAUACAUGUUGACCUGUGUUGGUGGAUGAAAAGGGUAACCAUAUUUAUGCUGAGAUUCCUAGAAAUGAGGCAACCAAGUUCAAACAGCUUGUUGAAGAACAAAAAGUUUAUUGCUUCAAGAAAUUAUUGGUUUUCGAAGCAAAGCCUCUUACAAGCCGUUCCUUGCCAAGUACAUGAUUAGGUUCACACCCUGGACCACUGUUGUACAUGCUGAGGAUGUUGAUCCAGAGUUUCCUAUGUAUGUGUACAAACUAAUGCCAUUUUCCGAACUUCCAUCACGUGUUGGUGCGCAGGAUUUCUUUGUUGAUGUCAUUGGACAAAUUGUUGGUGUGUCACAGUUGGCAUACGUGCGAAUGCCUACAAACACAACAGACACUCCAAAGCAGGUCACUGCCUUCAGAGAUGAUAGGU